AGGGUAGAGUAACACCAUGGUAAGGCGUAAGUCAUCGGUUCAAAUCCGAUAAAGGGCU
rnacentral:tRNA from 1 species